rnacentral:rRNA from 1 species
GAUGAACGCUAGCGGGAGGCCUAACACAUGCAAGCCGAGCGGUAUUGUUUCUUCGGAAAUGAGAGAGCGGCGUACGGGUGCGUAACACGUGUGCAACCUGCCUUUAUCUGGGGGAUAGCCUUUCGAAAGGAAGAUUAAUACUCCAUAAUAUAUUGAACGGAAUCGUUUAAUAUUGAAAGCUCCGGCGGAAAGAGAUGGGCACGCGUAAGAUUAGCUAGUUGGUGAGGUAACGGCUCACCAAGGCGAUGAUCUUUAGGGGGCCUGAGAGGGUGAGCCCCCACACUGGUACUGAGACACGGACCAGACUCCUACGGGAGGCAGCAGUGAGGAAUAUUGGUCAAUGGGUGCAAGCCUGAACCAGCCAUCCCGCGUGAAGGACGACUGCCCUAUGGGUUGUAAACUUCUUUUGUAUAGGGAUAAACCUACCCUCGUGAGGGUAGCUGAAGGUACUAUACGAAUAAGCACCGGCUAACUCCGUGCCAGCCGCCGCGGUAA